AUUGAACGCUGGCGGCAGGCUUAACACAUGCAAGUCGAGCGGGGGAAGGUAGCUUGCUACCGGACCUAGCGGCGGACGGGUGAGUAAUGCUUAGGAAUCUGCCUAUUAGUGGGGGACAACAUCUCGAAAGGGAUGCUAAUACCGCAUACGUCCUACGGGAGAAAGCAGGGGAUCUUCGGACCUUGCGCUAAUAGAUGAGCCUAAGUCGGAUUAGCUAGUUGGUGGGGUAAAGGCCUACCAAGGCGACGAUCUGUAGCGGGUCUGAGAGGAUGAUCCGCCACACUGGGACUGAGACGCGGCCCAGACUCCUACGGGAGGCAGCAGUGGGGAAUAUUGGACAAUGGGGGGAACCCUGAUCCAGCCAUGCCGCGUGUGUGAAGAAGGCCUUAUGGUUGUAAAGCACUUUAAGCGAGGAGGAGGCUACUUUAGUUAAUACCUAGAGAUAGUGGACGUUACUCGCAGAAUAAGCACCGGCUAACUCUGUGCCAGCCGCCGCUGUAAAAC
rnacentral:rRNA from 1 species